rnacentral:rRNA from 1 species
GAUGAACGCUAGCUGCAGGCUUAACACAUGCAAGUCGCGGGGCAGCAUGGGGGUUGCUUGCAACCCCUGAUGGCGACCGGCGCAAGGGUGAGUAACGCGUAUCCAACCUGCCCUUCACCACGGGAUAACCCGGCGAAGGUCGGACUAAUACCGUAUGUCUUCCAUUGACGGCAUCCGGUAUGGACGAAACGCUUGGGGGUGAACGGGCGGGGAUGCGUCCGGUUAGCUGGACGGCGGGGUAACGGCCCACCGUGGAUACAAUCGGUAGGGGUUGUGAGGGGAAGGUCCCCGACACUGGAACUGGGCCCCGGUGCAGAGUGCUACGGGAGGGAGCAGUGAGGAAGACUGGAGAAUGGGCGUAAGCCUGAACCAGCCAAGUAGCGUGCAGGAUGACGGCCCUAUGGGUGGUAAACUGCUUUUAGGAGGGGAUAAAGUGGCCUGCGGGUGGGCUUUUGAAGGUACCGGAUGAAUAAGGACCGGCUAAUUCCGUG